CCUACGGGAGGCAGCAGUAGGGAAUCUUUCACAAUGGGCGAAAGCCUGAUGGAGCAACGCCGCGUGCAGGAUGAAGGCCUUCGGGUUGUAAACUGCUUUUAUAAGCGAGAAAUAUGAUGGUAAAUUCUGAAUACGGAUCGGCUCCCUCCGCGCCAGCAGCCGCGGUCAUACGUAGGAUUCGAGCAUUAUCCGGAGUGACUGGGUGUAAAGAGUUGCGUAGGUGGCGUAAGAAGUAGCUAGUGAAAUCCGUUAGCUCAACCAUUCAGACUAUUAGCUAAACUGUUAAGCUCGAGACCGGUAGGGGCAACUGGAAUUUCUAGUGUAGGAGUGAAAUCCGUAGAUAUAAGAAGGAACACCAAUAGCGUAGGCAGGUUGCUGGGACGGGUCUGACACUAAGGCACGAAAGCGUAGGGAGCAAACGGGAUUAGAUACCCGAGUAGUC
rnacentral:rRNA from 1 species